GGAAUCUUCCACAAUGGACGAAAGUCUGAUGGAGCGACGCCGCGUGAGUGAAGAAGGGUUUCGGCUCGUAAAACUCUGUUGUUAAAGAAGAACAUAUCUGAGAGUAACUGUUCAGGUAUUGACGGUAUUUAACCAGAAAGCCACGGCUAACUACGCGCCAG
rnacentral:rRNA from 1 species